UCUUCUGAUGAAUUCCAAUAAAAA
rnacentral:piRNA from 1 species